UACGUAGGGUGCAAGCGUUGUCCGGAAUUAUUGGGCGUAAAGAGCUCGUAGGCGGUUUGUCGCGUCUGCUGUGAAAACUCGGGGCUUAACUCCGGGCCUGCAGUGGGUACGGGCAGACUAGAGUGCGGUAGGGGAGACUGGAAUUCCUGGUGUAGCGGUGAAAUGCGUAGAUAUCAGAAGGAACACCGGUGGCGAAGGCGGGUCUCUGGGCCGAUACUGACGCUGAGGAGCGAAAGCGUGGGGAGCGAACAGG
rnacentral:rRNA from 1 species